UGGGGAAUAUUGGACAAUGGGGGAAACCCUGAUCCAGCAAUGCCGCGUGAGUGAAGAAGGCCUUAGGGUUGUAAAGCUCUUUCGCCCGCGAAGAUAAUGACGGUAGCGGGAGAAGCAGCCCCGGCUAACUCCGUGCCAGCAGCCGCGGUAAUACGGAGGGGGCUAGCGUUGUUCGGAUUUACUGGGCGUAAAGCGUACGUAGUCGGAUGCGCAAGUUGGGGGUGAAAUCCCGGGGCUUAACCUCGGAAUUGCCCUCAAAACUGCACGGCUUGAGACCUGGUGAGGUAAGGGGAAUUCCUAGUGUAGAGGUGAAAUUCGUAGAUAUUAGGAAGAACACCAGUGGCGAAGGCGCCUUACUGGCUCGGUACUGACGCUGCGGUACGAAAGCGUGGGGAGCAAACA
rnacentral:rRNA from 1 species